AUCAACCAAAGAUCUGAGUGGCGAAUGGGUGAGUAACACGUGGGAAACCUGCCCUUUAGACUGGGAUAACUGUUGGAAACGACAACUAAUACCGGAUAGAGGCACUAAUCGCCUGAUUAGUGAAUGAAAGACGGCCUUUGAGCUGUUACUAGAGGAUGGUCCCGCGCUGCAUUAGCUAGUUGGUAAGGUAACGGCUUACCAAGGCGACGAUGCAUAGCCGGCCUGAGAGGGUGAUCGGCCACACUGGGACUGAGACACGGCCCAGACUCC
rnacentral:rRNA from 1 species